CACUCCUACGGGAGGCAGCAGUGGGGAAUUUUGGACAAUGGGCGAAAGCCUGAUCCAGCAAUGCCGCGUGAGUGAAGAAGGCCUUCGGGUUGUAAAGCUCUUUUGUCAGGGAAGAAACGGUGAGAGCUAAUAUCUUUUGCUAAUGACGGUACCUGAAGAAUAAGCACCGGCUAACUACGUGCCAGCAGCCGCGGUAAUACGUAGGGUGCAAGCGUUAAUCGGAAUUACUGGGCGUAAAGCGUGCGCAGGCGGUUUUGUAAGUCUGAUGUGAAAUCCCCGGGCUCAACCUGGGAAUUGCAUUGGAGACUGCAAGGCUAGAAUCUGGCAGAGGGGGGUAGAAUUCCACGUGUAGCAGUGAAAUGCGUAGAUAUGUGGAGGAACACCGAUGGCGAAGGCAGCCCCCUGGGUCAAGAUUGACGCUCAUGCACGAAAGCGUGGGGAGCAAACAGGAUUAGAAACCCGAGUAGUCCC
rnacentral:rRNA from 1 species